GCGAACGCUGGCGGCAGGCCUAACACAUGCAAGUCGAACGAAGUCUUCGGACUUAGUGGCGGACGGGUGAGUAACACGUGGGAACGUGCCCUUUGGUACGGAAUAACUCAGGGAAACUUGAGCUAAUACCGUAUGUGCCCUUCGGGGGAAAGAUUUAUCGCCAUUGGAGCGGCCCGCGUCUGAUUAGCUAGUUGGUGGUGUAAUGGACCACCAAGGCGACGAUCAGUAGCUGGUCUGAGAGGAUGAUCAGCCACAUUGGGACUGAGACACGGCCCAAACUCCUACGGGAGGCAGCAGUGGGGAAUCUUGCGCAAUGGGCGAAAGCCUGACGCAGCCAUGCCGCGUGAAUGAUGAAGGUCUUAGGAUUGUAAAAUUCUUUCACCGGGGACGAUAAUGACGGUACCCGGAGAAGAAGCCCCGGCUAACUUCGUGCCAGCAGCCGCGGUAAUACGAAGGGGGCUAGCGUUGCUCGGAAUUACUGGGCGUAAAGGGAGCGUAGGCGGACAUUUAAGUCAGGGGUGAAAUCCCGGGGCUCAACCUCGGAAUUGCCUUUGAUACUGGGUGUCUUGAGUAUGAGAGAGGUGUGUGGAACUCCGAGUGUAGAGGUGAAAUUCGUAGAUAUUCGGAAGAACACCAGUGGCGAAGGCGACACACUGGCUCAUUACUGACGCUGAGGCUCGAAAGCGUGGGGAGCAAACAGGAUUAGAUACCCUGGUAGUCCACGCCGUAAACGAUGAUUGCUAGUUGUCGGGAUGCAUGCAUUUCGGUGACG
rnacentral:rRNA from 1 species